rnacentral:rRNA from 1 species
UAGGGAAUAUUAGAAAUGGACGAAAGUCUGAUCUAGCAACACCGCGUGUGCGAAGAAGGCCUUCGGGUUGUAAAGCACUUUUUGGAAGGAUUAGGAAGGAAUGUGCUUCCAGAAUAAGUCUCGGCUAACUACGUGCCAGCAGCCGCGGUAACACGUAGGAGGCAAACGUUAUCCGGAUUUACUGGGCGUAAAGCGCGUGUAGGUGGUUCUGUAAGUAGGGCGUGAAAGCUCCUGGCUCAACUGGGAGAGGCCGUUCUAAACUGCAGAGCUAGAGAAUGGGAGAGGGAGGUGGAAUUCCGGGUGUAGCGGUGGAAUGCGCAGAUAUCCGGAGGAACACCAGUGGCGAAAGCGGCCUCCUGGACCAUUCCUGACACUCAGACGCGAAAGCUAGGGUAGCAAACG